UACGGAGGAUGCGAGCGUUAUCCGGAUUUAUUGGGUUUAAAGGGUGCGUAGGCGGCUUUUUAAGUCAGCGGUGAAAUUUUGCAGCUUAACUGUAAAAGGUGCCGUUGAUACUGUGAGGCUAGGAUUUGGUUGCUGUGGGUGGAAUGUGUGGUGUAGCGGUGAAAUGCAUAGAUAUCACGAGGAACUCCGAUUGCGCAGGCAGCUUACUAAACUACUACUGACGCUCAGGCACGAAGGCGUGGGGAUCAAACAGGAUUAGAUACCCCU
rnacentral:rRNA from 1 species